rnacentral:tRNA from 1 species
UCCCUAGUAGCUCAGAUGGUAAAGAAUCUGCCUGCAAUGCAGGAGAUCCAGGUUUGAUCCCUGGAUUGGGAA